CCUAUGGGAGGCAGCAGUAGGGAAUCUUCCACAAUGGGCGAAAGCCUGAUGGAGCAACGCAGCGUGGGUGAAGAAGGCCUUCGGAUCGGAAAACCCUGUUUAUAAAGGAGAAAGUGCGUGAGAGUAACUGUUCACGUAUCGACUGUAUCUAACCAGAACGCCACGGCUAACUACGUGCCAGCAGCCGCGGUAAUACGUAGGUGGCAAGCGUUAUCCGGCUUUAUUGGGCGUAAAGGGAGCGCAGUCGGUCUGUUAAGUCUGAUGUGAAAGGUUUCGGCUCAACCGGAGUAGUGCAUUGGAUACUGGGAGACUUGAGUGCAGAAGAGGAGAGCGGAACUCCAUGUGUAGCGGUGAAAUGCGUAGAUAUAUGGAAGAACACCAGUGGCGAAAGCGGCUUUCUGAUCUGCAACUGACACUGAGGUUCGAAAGCGUGGGUAGCAAACAGGAUUAGAUACCCUUGUAGUC
rnacentral:rRNA from 1 species